UUACGGCCAUAUCACGUCAAAACACCGAUUCUCGUACGAUCGCCGAAAUUAAGCAACGUCGAGCCUGGUCAUUACCUAGAUGGGUGACCGGCUUGGAAAUACCAGGUGGUGUAAG